AGUGAACGCUGGCGGUAGGCCUAACACAUGCAAGUCGAACGGCAGCACAGUAAGAGCUUGCUCUUACGGGUGGCGAGUGGCGGACGGGUGAGGAAUACAUCGGAAUCUACUUUUUCGUGGGGGAUAACGUAGGGAAACUUACGCUAAUACCGCAUACGACCUACGGGUGAAAGCAGGGGAUCUUCGGACCUUGCGCGAUUGAAUGAGCCGAUGUCGGAUUAGCUAGUUGGCGGGGUAAAGGCCCACCAAGGCGACGAUCCGUAGCUGGUCUGAGAGGAUGAUCAGCCACACUGGAACUGAGACACGCUCCAGACUCCUACGGGAGGCAGCAGUGGGGAAUAUUGGACAAUGGGCGCAAGCCUGAUCCAGCCAUACCGCGUGGGUGAAGAAGGCCUUCGGGUUGUAAAGCCCUUUUGUUGGGAAAGAAAAGCAGCAGGUUAACACCCCGCUGUUCUGACGGUACCCAAAGAAUAAGCACCGGCUAACUUCGUG
rnacentral:rRNA from 1 species